rnacentral:rRNA from 1 species
AGCAGAUGCAAGUACCAUGAGGGAAAGGUGAAAAGGACUUUGAAAAGAGAGUUAAAAGUGCCUGAACUCGCUGAAAGGAAAGCGGAUGGAACCAGUCGUGCGGUUUUUUUUUUUUUUUUUUUUUUUUUUUUUUUCGAGAUUGUUGCGUGCAAAGGUGAUGCUCACUGCUCGUAGCGUAAGCGCAGCAGCGGGUUUCGAUCUGGUCGCGCGCGAUGCUUCUUGCCUUGUUCGUCAUCGUUGGUUUGGAGGCGCGGACAACUCUUGGGACAUGGUAACUCGCCCACGGGCGAGCGAAUGUGCCUUGCAGAACUCACCUCCAAACUGAUGUCUCUUGUUAGGUUCUGUUGCCGUACGCGGCACGUUCUUGACAAAGCGUGGUGACAGAAUGGUUCUAUUCGACCCGUCUUGAAACACGGACCAAGGAGUCUAACAUAUGUGCAAGUACUUGGGUGGCGAAACCUAUGUGCGCAAUGAAAGUGAGUGCUGAGAUGCUUGCAUCAGCAGCCGACCAAUCAAUUGGGAGA